rnacentral:rRNA from 1 species
AGCUCCAAUAGCGUAUAUUAAAGUUGAACAGUAAAAAAUCCCAUAGUUGGAUUUCUGGCUGGACAUGUGGGUCCGCUCUUACGAGUAUGCACCAUGUAUGUCUGGCCAUCCUUUGGGAGAGCCAUAGUGGAUUUAAGUUGUUGGUGUGGGGAUCCCAAUCAUUUACUGUGAAGAAAUUAUAGUGUUCAAAGCAGGCUUACGCUGUUGGAUAUAUUAGCAUGGAAUAGUAACAUAUGAAUAUUGUACUAUUUUGUUGGUUUGUGCACAAAAAUAAUGAUUAGCAGGGACAGUUGAGGGUAUUUGUAUUCCAUUGUCAGAGGUGAAAUUCUUUGAUUUUUUGAAGACAAAAUACUGUGAAAGCAUUUACCAAAGAUGUUUUCA